UACAGAGGUCCCAAGCGUUGUUCGGAUUCAUUGGGCGUAAAGGGUGCGUAGGCGGCGCGGUAAGUCGGGUGUGAAAUCUCGGGGCUUAACUCCGAAACUGCAUUCGAUACUGCCGUGCUUGAGGACUGGAGAGGAGACUGGAAUUUACGGUGUAGCGGUGAAAUGCGUAGAUAUCGUAAGGAAGACCAGUGGCGAAGGCGGGUCUCUGGACAGUUCCUGACGUGAGGCACGAAGGCCAGGGGAGCAAACGGG
rnacentral:rRNA from 1 species